UAACUACUGUUGGCUGGAAGUAUGACAGAGUCUGAGGUGGAUCAUAAUUUAUAUCUUUCAAUUUACGCCCACUUGGACAACUUUUCACCACGCAAAUUUUGUCCAUUAUUGCUUAUAAUUUAUUGCAAUGUAUUACCUACAACAGUAAGCACUACAAAAUCAUAAAAAGUGUUAUUUGAAGCUGAUGAGAAAAUUCAAUCAAUGUCUACACGUUUUACCACAGCAAUAAUUUUAGGUUAUAUUGACGAAAUUCGUUUGGACUAGGUAAACAUGUAAGGUCUUGUAUGUUACACUGUCACUAACUUCUAUAGUUAUUGAAUAUAUUAAAUUUCCUAACUCAGCAUACUUCAAUCAGUUAACAACUGCUUAAUUCGUAUCAUCCUCCCAUAUCAUACUCCUUACCUCUACCCUCCAUAUGAAGUACAAAGCAAAUGAAUAAUGAAUGUACUCAGAGAAGUCGUUACCAUCAAAGAAGGGGUACAUUUUCAAAUAAAAAGUGGAUUUUAAGGAAUCCCAUGAUUUAAAACGUUCUAGCCAUUAUUGAUCUUAGAAUAAUUGACGUUUUUGCUUCUAUGAAGGUGCUCGAAAUUUCUGCCUUCACGUACCUACUACCUACAUGUAUAUAGUUCGUCAAGUAACAUUGACAUUGUUCAAUUAAUACCAAGCUAAAAACUCAAUGUGUGGCUUUGAAAUUGCCCUAUUUAGUUAUAUCCAGUGCUUCCAUUAUAACAUUAAUAAUGUAUUUCCUUUUCAGGGCUAUUCUGUAUAAUGUUGAACUAUUUAAUAUCAAGGAUGUAUGGCAUGUGAUUUAUUCCAUCAGAUAUAUUAAAUGAAAUAACUUCAGCAUAUAUGAAUAUAUGUAGCAAUAAUAAAUCUUGAAUUUUUCACAAUGGUAUUUGUUCAGUUGAUGGUGGAUUUUUCACAAGAUUUGGCUAAACUGAAGACCAUUGUGACAGUGCAACAACGAUCUGUUUUUAUUCAUAUAAUUGUUUAUUUAAUAAACAGAAUUUUUCA